rnacentral:misc_RNA from 1 species
AACUUUUGACAAUGGAUCUCUUGGUUCUGGCAUCGAUGAAGAACGCAGCGAAAUGCGAUAAGUAAUGCGAAUAGCAGAAUUCCAGUGAGUCAUCGAAUCUUUGAACGCACAUUGCGCCCUUUGGUAUUCCGAAGGGCAUGCCUGUUCGAGCGUCAUUAUCACCCCUCAAGCCCCGUGCUUGGUGUUGGACGGCCGGUCGAGCGAAUCGACCCCUCCUAAAGACAAUGACGGCGGCCUGUGGUUCCCCCGGUACACUGAGCUUCUUAUCGAGCACGUAUCGGACCAGGGCACCCGGGUUCCGGUCCCCUCCUUUCACAAGGAAACUUCUAAUGGUUGACCUCGGAUCAGGUAGGAAUACGCGCUGAACUUAAGCAUAUCAAUAAGCGGAGGCU